GAUGAACGCUGGCGGCGUGCCUAAUACAUGCAAGUCGAGCGAACAGACGAGGAGCUUGCUCCUCUGACGUUAGCGGCGGACGGGUGAGUAACACGUGGAUAACCUACCUAUAAGACUGGGAUAACUUCGGGAACCGGAGCUAAUACCGGAUAACAUGUUGAACCGCAUGGUUCAACAGUGAAAGACGGUUUUGCUGUCACUUAUAGAUGGAUCCGCGUCGCAUUAGCUAGUUGGUAAGGUAACGGCUUACCAAGGCAACGAUGCGUAGCCGACCUGAGAGGGUGAUCGGCCACACUGGAACUGAGACACGGUCCAGACUCCUACGGGAGGCAGCAGUAGGGAAUCUUCCGCAAUGGGCGAAAGCCUGACGGAGCAACGCCGCGUGAGUGAAGAAGGUCUUCGGAUCGUAAAACUCUGUUAUUAGGGAAGAACAAAUGUGUAAGUAACUAUGCACGUCUUGACGGUACCUAAUCAGAAAGCCACGGCUAACUACGUG
rnacentral:rRNA from 1 species